rnacentral:rRNA from 1 species
ACUGCUCAGUAACACGUGGAUAACCUGCCCUAAGGAAGGGGAUAACCUCGGGAAACUGAGGAUAAUACCCUAUAGGUUACAGACGCUGGAAUGCCCUGUAACCGAAAGUUCCGGCGCCUUAGGAUGGAUCUGCGGCCGAUUAGGUUGUUGUUGGGGUAACGGCCCAACAAGCCGAUAAUCGGUACGGGUUGUGGGAGCAAGAGCCCGGAGUUGGAUUCUGAGACGUGAAUCCAGGCCCUACGGGGCGCAGCAGGCGCGAAAACUUUACAAUGCGGGAAACCGUGAUAAGGGAACCCCGAGUGCCUGUAUAUGCAGGCUGUCCAGGUGUCUAAAAAACACCUGAAGAAAGGGCCGGGCAAGACCGGUGCCAGCCGCCGCGGUAAUACCGGCGGCUCGAGUGGUGGCCACUUUUAUUGGGCUUAAAGCGUUCGUAGCUGGGUUGUUAAGUCUCUUGGGAAAUCUGACGGCUCAACCGUCAGGCGUCCAAGGGAUACUGGCAAUCUUGGAACCGGGAGAGGCGAGGGGUACUUCGGGGGUAGGAGUGAAAUCCUGUAAUCCUCGAGGGACCACCUGUGGCGAAGGCGCCUCACCAGAACGGCUUCGACAGUGAGGGACGAAAGCUGGGGGAGCAAACCGGAUUAGAUACCCGGGUAGUCCCAGCCGUAAACGAUGCGCGUUAGGUGUAUCGGUGACCACGAGUCACCGAGGUGCCGAAGGGAAACCGUGAAACGUGCCGCCUGGGAAGUACGGUCGCAAGGCUGAAACUUAAAGGAAUUGGCGGGGGAGCAC